GCGUCCUCUGCGCGUUGCCCGGGUUUCAGCUCGCCGCCGGAGAGCCGGACAGUGAGGUGGUGCUGUGGGUCCGGGCUACAGUUCAGCUGGCUGCACUGAGGCCCAGGACCGUGGGCAUAGGCGUCCCCAGCUGGAGGCAGCUCCGACGCCGGCCAAGCCUCAGGCGGCAGGGGUGCGGGCCGCUGCCAGGAUGGCGUGCGAGGUCCCUCGAAGCCCGGCCUGGCUCCCGUGGACCCUCUGCGCCGCGCUUUCUUGCCCUUUCCCACACAGAGGCGGGCAGCAGCUCCCGGGGCUGCCUGGGGGCGCACAGGGAGGGCGCAGGCCUCGCCACCCGCCGCCGCCUCCGUGGUCCGCCUCUCUGCAAGCAGACGGCAGGACGGGCGCCUUCUUCCGGAAGCUGGGAACUGAGGGAAGUCCUCCGAGCGCCCGGUGCCGGGAGAUUCGCCGUGCCUGCGGUCACCCGGAGCGGGCCCGUGGUGCUGGCGCUUUCCAGCUGCCUGUGGUGGCGAGCCCGAGGCGGGGGAGGGCGAGGCCAGGAGGCGACAGAGCCCGGUGUGUGCCCAGGGCGGCCUGCUUGGCCGCUGGUGAGGGGAUUCGGGAAGUGUCUCUCUCCUCACUGGUGCCACCCGCCGCCUGCCCCUGGGGCUGGCUCUCGUUUCUGCCUGGGGCAGGACCUGACAGGUACCUGAGGGGUCGCAAAGAGUUGAACACGACUGAGCAAGUGAACUGAACUGAGGACCAGACGGCAGCUUCUCUGGCGUGCAGGGUGGCUGGCUGCCUCUGCGGUGGGCCCUGAGGCCCAAGAAGAAGGAGGGGCUGUCUCUGUAGACACUGCCUUUGCCCGGGCAACAGCUUGAGAUAGGCAAAGCUCGUGUCUUCCUCGUGGAAGGGGCUGCAGAUCGUCAAGUCCCUUAAUAAGCCCAUCUGAGGCGGUCUGAAGUGUUACCAAAGAAGACGGGGAGGGGUGACCGUGUGAUCAGGGUGCUUCUACUCUCAACCAGGUGGUCCAUGCCGUGCAAAGAUAGGGGAAGAACACCUUCCAGGUUCAGCAGGACUGUGUUCCCCUCCUGCUCUCUUGAGUUGUGGGGUUUGAAGAACACACUGAAUUCUGUUUAAGCCCCUUGGCACGGAAGACUCUGAGUGGGUGGUGGCAGGAGGACUUGAGGUGUCGGGGCAUCGGGACAGGUUGCAAACUGCCAGGUACAGGUGAGUGGUCAGAUGUCCCUGCUCUGUCUUGCAGACCUGGCCGUUUCCAGGGCUCCAUCUCACAUAGGGCCUGCCUGCCUGCCCUGCCUAGCGGCCGUGGUCACUGGCUCGCCCCCUCUUUGUGCAGGAGUCCAAGAACACCUCCAGCAGAGGCCACAGUGGUGUGUGCAGUAUCGCCGCCUAAGAAACCUGGCCGCCAUCCCCGACCACCCCCUUCAGAGUCUCAGAUGUGGGCUACAUCUGUGGAUUGAGAUGAAAAAUCUGCAUAUCUGGUGGGCCUUGGCCUGGUAAUAGCACCGCUGAUGAUCUUAUCAGGUGAAAAAGCCCAGACACGGGGCAGAAGAACCCAGAGACGUGCUGUGGACCUAGCACGCGGCAUCUGCCUUGCCUCUGGGAGGGUCUGGCCGGCUUGCCGAGGGUCCCUGAAGAUGAGGCUGCUGCUGCUCUGACCUGGUGGAAGCGCCCUGCGGACUUCCACUCAUGCUGGGAUUAAUCUAGUUCCAGGCGGGGCGGUGGUUCCUGACACGCUUUGUACACCUCAGACCCAUCUUCCAAGAUGACUGAGGCUGUGCGGGGGAGCUUAACAUUUUAACUGAGGAAGUGGAGACCAUGGCCUUGAGAAUAGUCUGAUGACUUCUCACAGUUUUAAAAAAACAGACUGUGUGUUGGUUGCCAUGCCUGUAGCUUACAAAAAAUUCUGUGUUCUUACAGAACUUACAAAAAGUUCUGUGAUGAGUGGCUUCAGUCAUUAAAAACAAGCAUUUUUAUUUUUAACAAAAUGUGGAGAUGAUGGAGGUGCUGCUGACUGGAUAAGCAUUACCAACAAGGACCACUGGGGGGCGACACAACACGGGGAAAUAGGUCUCACAGAUGUCGUUUUCUUUUCCUUGCAAAUUCUCAACCAUGUUUUUGUAUUUUUAACUAAAUGAAAAUACUGAAAAUAGUAUAGCAGAGAGCACUUUUAAUGGAAAAUUAAUUGAUAACACAGUCUUAUUUCAAUUUUCUGUUUAUUUUUAACUUAAAUGACUGUGUAUAUUCCACAGUCUUACGAUGAGAAAGGCUCUAGAGUCAUGUCCAGGUCUUCUCAACAUUUCAUUUCUUGAGUCGUUUUUUCGCUUUUCUUUGUGCAUUGAUAGGGGCUUCUCAGUUCAGAAACCAAGGCACUAGAACUAUUUUAUCAGCUACAUUAAUACAUUGAAGGUGUAUUUACCCUCUCAUUAAAUAUACAGCAUUUGAAUACAAUGUGGUUUUAUGCAGAUCAGGUUCAAAACACCCAAGGCACACACUUUACUUUUUUUCCUCUUUUUUGUUUCUGUAUUUAUUUGAAGGCUCAUAGUAAAAUUUCAGAAUUUCUAUAAACAAAGAGUUCCAGAGAAGCAAUGGACAAUGAUUGUUGUAAUUUUAAACAUAAUGCGGUAAAGACUGAACUGCAGAAACAUGUUACAGGAACAGGAAAGAAACAAAAGCACUGGUACAGCGUGGGUUAAAAACAAGUGAUCGGAUCCGCUGAAGUCUGAGAAGCCGGUCUGGAAUCGCCCAUCUGCCCACAAAGCCGGGGCAGGCCCAUCUGCACGCGGCUGCCUGGGCACGUGGCGGCCGUGGGACUGAAGCCUUGUUGCGUGUGUACACGGAUCGCUACAAAUACACGAGACGUCCCAGUUUACUGGUUAUUAAAAUGCCUCAGGUAAAGUACAAAUAAACGGAAAAAGUCUUCCAGUAUCUAUUUUUUCCUUAACAAGACAGACGGAUACAUUUAUCUGGAAGAAGCCAUUGGACAGUGGGGCUGGGGGGCGGUGAAGAUCUGAGAGGAACCACUGGAUGGUGUAGCAGGUGGACCUCGGGGAGCGUAAACUACAGAAGAUUCACCGAGGCUGAGAAUUUGGCAUUGACAUAGAAAUGGUGGCUGCUGUUCAAGGGGAGAAUGUGCCAGAGCAGAAGAAACUGCUCCAGAACUAAAGACCGUGAGUUUUCACUGAUGAGACCUAAGAAGAGGUUCAAUAUUUAAAAUAUGCUUCCCUACAGUGGAAGGAAUAGCCCAUGUCUUCUUGGCUCAGUUCUCUGACGGAAGACACGUUCUCUUGCCCCAAGCCUUAGUGCACACUUGUUCAUAAAAAUCUGGUUGGCUCUGCGUCAGCCAGAGAGGCUGCCCAGCCUGCGUGCCCGGCAGCAAGGAGACAGCCAGCUGUGGGUGUGCGCGAUCCUCUGCUCUGAGGAGCAAGGUCUGCACCUGGCUCUCCCGCCACGCCCUUCUGCAUCCAUCUCAGACAGGAGAGCCGGGCCUCGGCUCCCUCACAGCAGUGUUCACAGACGUCCGUGGUGCUGCUCUCGUGGUUCUAAAAUAAUGCUCGUUUCCACCUGUACAGUGAGAAAACUUGCAGGAGAUGGAACCAAGGCAGAGGAGCUCACUGAAAGGAUUUUCACUCUUUGGGCAGAUAUUAUCUGGUCAGUUUCAUAGAGGUCAAGUGGCUGGAUUGUAAGCUUGGCAACUUUUUAAUUCAGGAAGGUCUCACUGUUUGCAAUCAGAACCACAACCUUAGUGCAAUAGUAUAUUUAUUUUUUCUUUUUACAGUAAUUUUGGUUGCCAUACAAGAGAUGUUAAGAAUUGGGAGAAAGUGCAAAUUACAGGAGCUUGUUUUUAUGUUUUUAAUAAGGUCUAAAAAGAAUAAAAGCACAAAAGUAACAGAAACAUAGAUAAUGCGAACACAUGUUACACAAACUAUAGUGUGAAACAUACUAGUUUCUAAAAAAACGAAAAUUUUGUUAAUGGGAAAAACCAGUAUUUGUGGUCCACACAGUCAUUGCCCGAUCACCCUGGGUAAUGCUUGCUUGUUAAAUAACUCGAAAAAAAUCACCAUUUUAUUAACUAAAGUAUCACAAAUGAUUCACUUUGUGAUAUGUAAAGUUCAGCAAAUCAACAGUCACGUUGAGUCAUUUUUAUAUUAUGGAUUAACUUAAAAUGUGCAGACACCCUGGAGAAGGUAUCUUGGCAGGUAUACAUAAUUUACAUCUUGAGCAAUUUUGGUUUUGUAUACACAAUAUUACAGAAACUAGGCAUGUAAAUGCAAUUUAUUUAAAUUACAGUAUAUAACAAAAGUGGAUCUUUUUAAAACCUGGAAUAAGUAUUAACAUAAUCUUUAUAUGAGCAGUUUAACAUCUGUUUCACCGUUGAAGAGGGGCGUGGGGUAGGGCCUGGUCCUGACGUGUUUCAAGGGGGAGAACAGUGGGCGGUGGGUCAAAUGAGGAACUAUUGCUUUCUGUAGCAAAUCCGGUGGAGAGAGCUAGAGACCGAUUCAUCUUGGCAAGUGUUUUGUUGAUCAGUGCAGGUUCUGAUGGGUCCUGUUACUUCUCUAUAGUGAGAGUGUGAACCACCAACGCGGUCAGCUUUGCUUGCUUCUGGUCAGUUGCAUGUGACUCGGAAGUCUCUCUAAGGGAGUAGCAGCCGAGCCUCACCUCCUGGCUGCCCACGUCCAGCCAACCCCAACGCCCCACGCUGCCGUUGGGUACCAUCUGCCCGAGGCUCCUUUCACUCUCAUCCUGUCUAGCGUGUUGCCUGGCACUGAGCAGAGAGGUGAGACCGGCAAAGGAGAAACGAGCCGUGGUGGGGCGCUGUGCUUACUGGGUUUCGCAUCACCACCAGAGGGAAGACAGAUAAGGGCCAAGUCACCAUCUUAUGCUUUCCGAACUGUCAGCAGCCUUAGCAGGCCACCCGUAGUAUCUUGGCUUGAAACUUCUCUGGGAUUAUAUUCAUCUCAUGAUGGAAAAAUCGAAAGUACAUGGAAGUAAAACACCUUAAUAUUAAAUUGACUUCAUUCAAAUACCAAGAUUGACCUGCAACAGGUUUUGGAACAGAAGGCCCCAAACUCAAUUUCCAAUUCAGGGACAUGGGGCUGGAAAAACUCUGUGUGUGGUGACUGUGUGUGUUUUUGCAGAAAACUGCUGCAUCAUGAAUUACAACCACUUUUGAAGAAAUAAUUGUCCUUCGACGUUGAAGUUCUAGCAAAGAUAGAAAAUAUAGCACAGCUCUGCUGGUUCCGAUGCAUCCAAUAAGGUUGAUUUAAAAAGGUCGUACUUUUAUAAUUAUUCCACAGAAAUAGUAGUAUUAAAUCACAAAAGUUUGUUUUUCUUUAACUUUCUAGCACUGAAGUGGCACAAAGGCUGCCUAGUAGACCAGCCACUUUUUUUUCCCUUAAAAUAUUGUGCUUAUAAACUAUCUGUACAACUAUUUAAACUUGCAGUAAAGAAAGAUUUUAAAUUGCUAAAUUUUACGUGUUCAUUCUAGAGCUGUUCCAGACCUAAUCAGACACUUGAUUGUGAGCAUAAAGAAAAAAAGGAAAAAAAAAUUAUGUUUUUAUAAUUAGAGAUGGGCUAGGCUAGUUCUGAAAUCAUAAUAAAAGCCAAAAACUUGACAUUCUUCCAUAUGUGGGAGGACGUGCUGA
ensembl:lncRNA